rnacentral:rRNA from 1 species
GAGCGUAGGGGGCGAGCGUUGUCCGGAUUCAUUGGGCGUAAAGCGCGCGUAGGCGGCUGCGCAAGUCGGUUGUGAAAUUCCGGGGACUCCAACCCCGGAACUGGCGUCCGAUACUGGCGUGGCUAGAGGUAGGUAGGGGAGAUCGGAAUUCCUGGUGUAGCGGUGAAAUGACGCAGAUAUCGAGGAGGAACACCGGUGGCGAAGGCGGAUCUCUGGGCCGUAACUGACGCUGAGGAGCGAAAGCAUGGGGAGCGAACAGG